rnacentral:rRNA from 1 species
CAGCCGCCGCGGGAAUACGAAGGGGGCUAGCGUUGUCCGGAUUUACUGGGCGUAAAGGGCGCGUAGGCGGACUGAUAAGUCAGGGGUGAAAUCCCAAGGCUCAACCUUGGAACUGCCUUUGAUACUGUUUGUCUUGAGUUCGAGAGAGGUAAGUGGAACUGCGAGUGUAGAGGUGAAAUUCGUAGAUAUUCGCAAGAACACCAGUGGCGAAGGCGGCUUACUGGCUCGAAACUGACGCUGAGGCGCGAAAGCGUGGGAGCAAACAGGAUUAGAUACCCCAGUAGUCCCUGUCUCUUAUACA